rnacentral:rRNA from 1 species
GCAUCUGAAAUCAAGCAGGAUCACCCGCUGAACUUAAGCAU